rnacentral:rRNA from 1 species
AUUGAACGCUGGCGGCAGGCCUAACACAUGCAAGUCGAGCGGAUGAAGGGAGCUUGCUCCUGGAUUCAGCGGCGGACGGGUGAGUAAUGCCUAGGAAUCUGCCUGGUAGUGGGGGAUAACGUCCGGAAACGGGCGCUAAUACCGCAUACGUCCUGAGGGAGAAAGUGGGGGAUCUUCGGACCUCACGCUAUCAGAUGAGCCUAGGUCGGAUUAGCUAGUUGGUGGGGUAAAGGCCUACCAAGGCGACGAUCCGUAACUGGUCUGAGAGGAUGAUCAGUCACACUGGAACUGAGACACGGUCCAGACUCCUACGGGAGGCAGCAGUGGGGAAUAUUGGACGAUGGGCGAAAGCCUGAUCCAGCCAUGCCGCGUGUGUGAAGAAGGUCUUCGGAUGGUAAAGCACUUUAAGUUGGGAGGAAGGGCAGUAAGUUAAUACCUGGCUGUUUUGACGUUACCAACAGAAUAAGCACCGGCUAACUUCGUG